rnacentral:rRNA from 1 species
CCUACGGGGGGCAGCAGUGAGGAAUAUUGGUCAAUGGGCGCGAGCCUGAACCAGCCAAGUCGCGUGAGGGAAGACGGUCCUAUGGAUUGUAAACCUCUUUUGUCGGGGAGCAAAAGACGCCACGCGUGGCGUUCCGAGAGUACCCGAAGAAAAAGCAGCGGAUAACUCCGUGCCAGCAGCCGCGGUAAUACGGAGGAUGCGAGCGUUAUCCGGAUUUAUUGGGGUUAAAGGGUGCGCAGGCGGAAUAUCAAGUCAGCGGUAAAAUUGAGAGGCUCAACCUCUUCGAGCCGUUGAAACUGGUUUGCUUGAGUGAGUGAGAAGUAGGCGGAAUGCGUGGUGUAGCGGUGAAAUGCAUAGAUAUCACGCAGAACUCCGAUUGCGAAGGCAGCAUACCGGCGCUCAACUGACGCUCAUGCACGAAAGUGUGGGUAUCGAACAGGAUUAGAUACCCCAGUAGUC